GAGAUGGAUAGAGAUUUCUGUUUUAAACUAAUAAAAUCUAACUAAUUUAGGAUAUCUAGAAAGACUUGCGUAGAUAAGAAAUAGAGACAAAAGAAUAACUUAAGGUGCACCUAUAUUAUAUAUCUAAUAUUUUAAUCUUUUUUUUUGGCAGAUAUGAGGAGCUAAGGGUAUUCUAAUAAAAAAUUAAAUAGAUCAAAUUUAAAAUGGUAUAUUCCCCUCUCUCUCCUUUAAUAAUACGGUAUGGAUUUAUCAUCUUCAUAGCACAAAAGUAUCCAAAAAAAAACAUAGAGAUGGAUGGUUAUUUUUCUCUUAACAUGUACUUUGUUGCCAAUCCAACAUUUUUUUUUUUUGCCUUAUGUGUGCAUCGUAACGAAUGCAUUGCUGAAGGGUAGAUUUUGGAAUAGGCGGGAUUUCUAAUAAUUAUUUCUGUGUUUUGAUUGGUGAAAUGACAAUCAUCUUUGAACUUCCAAUUGUAGCAUCUCGUUUGAUCUAUGGUAAAAGUUUAAACUCUAAUUGGAUUAUUACAAGGACAUUGAGCUAAAAAGAGCCUUCUUUGGAGUAACCCCCGAGUGGAAAGCCUACUCAGGGUUUCUAGCCAAAACCACAGCGGAGGGUAUUUUGAAGUGAUAAAUUUUGUGUUCGUUGGCUUACGUAAGUUGUUCAGUAAGUGGAUUUGUAAUGACUGUUUGGGACUGUAGUGAGAAGUUAAAUUGUGUUCACAUCUCCGCAUUUGUAAGUUAGGAAUGUCUCAGAUAUUCCUAAACGCAUACCGUCAGAGAAACUUCCUUAACCAAUAAGAUAGAUCAAAAAAUAGCAGUAGCACUGCAACAGAAGCUGAAUAUGCAACAGCAUCACAUCUUUUAAAUCAUCUUUCUUACGUUGUUAUGGCUUUUUGCCAGCUUAAUGAGAUUGCACCAAGUUAAUGCUGGCACUUGGCAUGUGGAAUGCAGGAGAGGCUGAUUCAAAGGCAAUGUUUGAAGGAAAUGGUUACACCUACUCCUAUCCUUUUUUACUAAGAGUGCUGCUACCUGAACCACUCCUUUCCCCGGCUCAUAGCACCAGGUUCUCGUGUCUCGUCUUUUUGUAAAGAGAGGAGUUUCAGUUAAGUGUGCUCGUUAAAGAAUGCACUAUGUUUGUGAUAGGACUGAUGGAUAGGCUGCUGCAGGUGUU
rnacentral:lncRNA from 1 species